GUUAGUGGCGAGUUGGAACUGAGGCUCAGCAGCCAGGAAGGGAAGCAGCUCUUGGAUGUGAGAUGCCAGCUUGACCACCGCACCACCGAGCCUGCUGUGAUCCGCUGCCACAAAGCGUGCUGCUUGCUGGCCUGGUCGCACACCUCCCUGAUGCAUGCGUGUGUGUCCAGUGUGCUGCAGAUACCAAGAUGAACCAGAGGAUGCAGAGCAGGUCCACUGUUCACAUGGACUGUCUUACAAGAGGUUCUGUGAAUUUUCACAAGUUCUUCAUGCCGCCACUGAGGUGUCCCCAACAACGGAGGAGAUUAUGAGUCAUUCCGCGGAGUCCAACCUUGCAUUGCACGCACGGGGACAUACUCUUCUCUGUCUCCGCCUAAGAGCGCGUUAGUUUCCGCUGCACUUCCGUUCUGCAUCUCCUUACGUACGGUCAACCACAGGAAGAACCGCGGCUCUGACACAUGCUGGCUGAGCAAAGAGAAGACAGUGGACAGGCGUGCAGUCUCACUUCUGCGAGGCAGAAGAGCUGUGGAGCUUCGUGGGCAACGAUUUGAAUCUGCUUAGCCGAGAGGGAGGGCUGGCAUACGACCCGGCAGCUCAGGUGCUGCACUACACAGCAGAAUGCGGGGUCUGACUUCCAGCUCUGCUUUCAGGCGCAGCUGGAGAUGGCCCAGGUGCUUGGGUCCUGAUGCUCACGUGGGAGACAGGGACGGAAUUCCAGGCGCCUGGCUUCAGCCUGGCCAGCCUCGGCUACGGUGGGCAUUUACGGGGGCAAACCAACUGAUGGAAAAUCUUUGUUUCUCUCUGUGUGUUUCUCUGCCUUUCAAAUAAAUAAAAAGGAAAA